rnacentral:misc_RNA from 1 species
CAAAGGUUGAUGAAAUGCCGUGUUCCCGGGGCCGCUCUCUUUCUCUCUGAGGGGGGUUGUGUGUUUCGGGGGCGCGGCAUGUACCAACAACCACGAUCAUCCACCGUGUGCACUCAUUGAACCGUGGGGGGUUGAUUUUUUUUGACCUCUCAUGGUUCCAAACCUUUCUCCAGCCUUACCGUUUGUCUGAACAUUAUCAUUUUUAAAUGAAAAUA